GCGGAUAUGGCGUAAUUGGUAGCCGCGCCAGACUUAGGAUCUGGUGCCUCACGGCGUCGGGGUUCGAGUCCCUUUAUCCGCA
rnacentral:tRNA from 1 species